CUGCACAAAUGAGUGGGGUCUUCUAGAUGAAGUUGAAAUGUACCAGCCUCUAAAACCAUGACAGGACCAUAUUUAUUUCUAUUUCACAAUAGAAGAAGUAGUCACAGGGAUGUAUUUCCAGUAAUCCAAAAGGAGAUGGGGAAAUCGCUAUCAGAAACAGCAGGCGCUACAAUUGUUGGCUUGGAAGAUACACCAGACAACAAAAGUCCAAUUGCCAGAAAGUAUUUAUACUCCUGCAGUUCACAGCUGAGGACUCGAUCCCGACCUUUGAUACACAGAACAGAUUUGCUCUGCAGCUGGAAACCCGGCUGUAGCGUUUGUGCUUGGAAGGUAAGAUUGUGCCCGGAGCUGAUAAAGGUGGAAGCUGAGUCAUCUCUUUUGGACUCAAGCAGCAGUCUCCCAACCAAAAUCAGAUACUGCUCCGCUUCCGCUCUAAUAAAGCUUCGUGGAAUUUGAAGGCAAGUGGCUUUUGGGAAAAACAUGUAAGAACAGAACUAUACCUCGAACAGCAACAAGGAACUUCAGUCGCCCAUUCUGUUCAGGCCUUUCAGCUUGUUUAAAGACUGAUACUAGGACAAACCCUUUCUUCUCUGAGCCCCUUCAUUUGUCUCUGUUUGAGAGUGUUAUUUCACUCUACUUUUUUAAUCUCGUUUUAUUC
ensembl:lncRNA